UGUGUGUGUGUGUGUGUGUGUGUGUGUGUGUGUGUGUGUGUGUGUGUGUGUGUGUGUGUGUGGGGGGUGUGCUAGGGAUAUGCGUAGUCGAAUCGGCUGAACUGUAGGGGUGUUAACAGGAAGAUCACCGUGUUGUAUGCAGGACAGUCGGUCGUCAAAGUGGCCAGGAUGUUAGCAGAAUGAUCACUGUGUUGUUGGAAGGAUAGCCAUGUGUGUGUGUGUGUGUGUGUGAGAGAGUGUGUCAACAGAUGUUUCAUGGGCUAUGAUUCUAUUAACAAUAUGUGGACAGCAGUAGCAUUAUAUGAUACAAUUCUUAUAACAGAUGUGUUUGUAAGUAGUGUAGGAUAAAAGUGUAAUUCAAUGCCUUUGAACAAUGAGGGGUUGUAUAAUUCGGUGCCUUAAUGUCUGUGGAGAAGCAACGCCUCUAUUGUUACACAUAUGUCUGACGACCAUGGCACCCCCCGGCUCCAUGUUGAUUAUGGGGGAGCUGUCUAUGGAAGACACAGGCUGUUUGAUGGCUCCCUGGUACUAUACAGAGUGAUUUGAUGUGUGUGUGUGUGUGUGUGUGUGUGUGUGUGUGUGUGUGUGUGUGUGUGUGUGUGUGUGUGUGUGUGUGUGUGUGUGUGUGUGUGUGUGUGUGUGUGUGUGAGAGACGUAAUAAUGUGCUUUUUAUAUUCUAUCCCACUAUAUUACGAAAACCGACUUUGGUUCACAUUGACAAUAUAUUAGGUGAUAUCAUGAUACUAUUAAGAUAGUUUAGUAAUUUUUCAUCCGUAUUUGGAUCAACUUUAUUUAUCAGUAUAAGGUCUGGCGAGUGGGCGUAGGCCUGUGGUACCUACGUGUGCGUGGGUCCAGUACCUAUUGGACAGGCGUCUAUGACGUCGGGGCCUUAGGUGCGAAUGAUGCAGAUAGGGCGUCUAUUAGGCAUAAAUAUGCGGGGUCCCUUGAUACGGGAGCGUACGACCUCCGACCCAGACGUUAGCCACACUAUUCUAAGUUAGUAAACGCGUCGUAGCAGCUGGAAGAAAAAAAAAACAUCGAUCCGUCCUGCACAACUAUGCCGACUGACUGUAAGUAUUCAUAUGUGUGUAUCAUGAUUAUAUUAUGACUAUGUCUAUGUGAAUCAGCUGUUUAUAUCUGACCGAAGCAGCGAUUACUUCACAGCGAAUUGUGGUGCCGGAGGCGAGAGCGUGAAACAGCAGCAGGGUCCACGUGGAAAUUUGCAGGAUAUUCGGCUCAACAGACCGAUUCUAGCAGACCAGACUAAUGUGCUGACAAGCGGUAGUUUUGUACCUAUCGAGGCCAAUGUCAUUCAGCGCCCCUCCGGACGGCUCAACAGACCGAUUCUAGCAGACCAGACUAAUGUGCUGACAAGCGGUAGUUUUGGUAAGUUGUUAAUACGUCCGCCAUUAAUAUAUCUAUAGGUGUAUUACCAAAAUAAAUUAUAUAUUAAUUUAACAUCUAAAACAACCAAACCUAUCCCCUGAAUACUCUUGUAUUUUGUUUUUUGAUCCACGUUUAGUACCUAUCGAGGCCAAUGUCAUUCAGCGCCCCUCCGGAGCAAAUCGACUGUCCAAGAAGAAUUUGAAAAGAUCGGCGGGAAUAGGCGGGGCUAUACCCUGCUCACCGCAGGCCAUAGAACAGCUACAAAUUCCUUAUAAAAAGGCCCGCAAGGACGCCACCCACGGUGGUCUAGCUCCGGAGAAUUUUACCCAUGUUAUUCAGGCCGUUAUAAACCCGCAAAUCGCGCCACAUGGAGCGGCAUGGACUGAUUCCAACCACCAAGUGAUUGGGGACGUGGAGGUGCAUGUGUCGGCGGCGCCUACAGAGACAGUCGCCGUGCAACCGGAUGGGACUAUACAACACGUCUAUGGAGAUCCCCAGUGUGCGCCACCAGCAGGGCUGACCGUCAAUGAUUGGCCUGGUCUUGACGACAUCCUGGACGCGUCCUGGAAUUCAUCGCUGCUGGAACAUAGCGACUUCACUCCAGCUCUGUGGGUCGACUCUCCAGCUACAUCCGUAGAGGCUACCACCAGUGCAGAGCCUGUACAACACCACCAGCCUGCAGGUCCUGUAU